rnacentral:lncRNA from 1 species
CACAAUCACUAUAAACUCAAUAUUCAUCAUUCACAUCACACACAAUUCAUAACCAACGGAAUCAACAAUCAAUCAACACCAACAAUUAUUCAUCACCAACGAAGAUCAAACCACAUACGAAUAUUUUAUCCAACACACCGUAUAUCACCAACAAAGAAAUGAAAAGAUGAAAGGAGUAGAAUUGGACCUCAAUUUGAAGCUUUCAAGAUUUAGUAUUAACCGGGUGAAGAGACGAAAUCCGUGACCGGACCUCGAAUUGAACCUCAAUAGACUAACCCGCCUCAACUCGAACCUCGAACGACGAACCAAAUCCACGGGAACAUCUCAAAACUCAAUUCAAACAAGGCUCCACAAAGAACAAACGAAUUGGUGGCCGGAAUUAACGUUUUUCUGGCAAGAUUUAAACUGAAAAUGAGAAAGGGGUGGCUAUUUGAUGUGGGUUUGGUCGGAAUAGAGCCGGAAAUGCCGUUCUCCGGUGGGUUUCGCCGUAGCAGUGACCUAACGGUGGUCGUCGGAGUACCUGGCGGCAAUUUCGGUGAAGAACUCACCAAAAAUAGUCUGACCAAUCUGUUUCUCCCUCUCUUUCUUGAUUUUAGCUCUCUCUCUCCUGAUUUUCUCUCUCUGGUGCUCGAUUUUACUCCAUCUUCUUCCUUUCGAUCUCUCCUUCUCACGAUUUUGACUCUCUCUCGAUUCCCUCUCUCGUAUCUAUUAGUUUUUGUAUGUGUUCUCCCGUGUGUGGGUAUAUCGUGAAUGAGUGAAUGUGUGUGUAUCUUUGAUCAAUGAGGAUUUUUCCGUGUGUUCUGUGGGGUAGUGCGUAUAUAUGAGAAUUUGUGGUGAGGUUCGUGUUGUGCUCGGGUGUGUGAACGUGUAUAUGUAUAUCUCUCUCUCACUGGUGUGUGUAUUUUUCUCAGGUGGGGUGAAAAAGAGAGUUUUUUCGUGAAUGAAUUUUUUGGGCGAGUUUUUUUUUUUUUGUGAGGUGUAUUUUGUUCUCCUAUAUUCUGUUGGUGAAUUGUGUAUAUACUCCCCUUUUCUUUGUGGAAAAGAGAUGUGGGGGGUUAAAGGGUAAGGGUAGGGGUAUAGGGUGGGGUAGGUUGUUAGGAUGAGGUGUAAAGUUAGUGAGGAUAGGAUUAAAACAAGAUAGAAUUUGUUAGGGAUUAUGUUAAGGGUUAUUAUUUUUAUAUUUUUGUGGGGUAUAAUCACAUGGUUGAGGGUGUGUGGUAAUGUGAGCUAAAAAUGAAUAAAAUUGGAUUUGGGAGAGACAAAAUUAGGUGUCUACACAGAGUAGUUUUGACCCUUUUUCAUUUUACAUAUGAUUAUAAAAAAAAAAAAAAUUCCAGUUCCAAUUGAACAAAAUUCCUAUUUAUAUAUUCUCCCCGAAUAAGUUAAUGUGCCCAUUAACUUGGCCUCAACUGACAUUUAUGCCCUUCAACUUUGAAUAUGCAUUAGUGCGCACACUUGAUGUAUCAUAAAAUUGAGCAAAUAGACACAUGCGUUCCACACGUGGCAAAUCGCGUCAAAUUCACGUCUCCUAUGUGUCAAAUCACAUGAGAUUUUCCACGAAGGACGUGUGUCUACUUGUUAAUUUUAUGAUAGUUUAAGUGUCAACUUGUGCAAAUCCAAAGUUUUAAAGGUUACAUAUAUGUAUUGUACCAAUUAUUUGUACAUUAAGUAAUGCCAUCUCCGGCAAUGACAAAUUAUUCCUUGAUCAUUCAGUAUGUCAAGUUUUUUUCUCCGUUCUCUCCAUACAUAUUUAUAUGUAUAGAAGGAGCUAGGAUUUUGAGUUUAUGCUCGGGUGUGUGAACGUGUAUAUGUAUAUCUCUCUCUCACUGGUGUGUGUAUUUUUCUCAGGUGGGGUGAAAAAGAGAGUUUUUUCGUGAAUGAAUUUUUUGGGCGAGUUUUUUUUUUUUUGUGAGGUGUAUUUUGUUCUCCUAUAUUCUGUUGGUGAAUUGUGUAUAUACUCC